AUCGCUUCUCGGCCUUUUGGCUAAGAUCAAGUGUAGUAUCUGUUCUUAUCAGUUUCAGAUCAGAUAAUUGCUACUUGUGACGAAGCGGGGAGCUUGA
ensembl:snRNA U2 U2 spliceosomal RNA